UCCUCUCUGAAAGCUGGCUGUUCUAGGUCACUUUCCAUACUUUCUGGUACCUAUGCAGCUUGGUCCAUGGGCUAGGGAAUCCUCAGCAUGUUUUUGCAAUUCGGAAGCUAUGUUCUGAUUGUCAGAUUUGUAGGGUGUUACCUCCUCCCCCAGGUAUGGCAGUUGCUUGGGAUGGGAUUAAGGUGGGGCAGGACUAAGACUGGGGCCUGGUGCCCACCUUUGUCCUUCUUCCCAGGCGGGGCAAUUGCACCAAGGCAAGUCACCCACUUUCAUCCCUGGGAGAUCCAGAAUCCCUUGCUAUCUACCUAACAAAAGCAGAUGGUAAGAAACGGGCCAAUGUGAACACUUGAUCAGGAGCUACAACAGUAAAUUUUUUGUGUUUGUGAAUUCUUUCCCAAUCCUUGCGUGCGUCCAAUCUUAAUGUAAAUAAAGAAGAACGAAACAAAUCCGGUGUCUCCAGUAUCACAAGCUCCAGGAAAUAGACUCAUGCUUAUUCUUGACUGAAGAAAUCAUUGCCAGUCAUCACUGAUGAUCAGGAGCUACAAGGUUUUCAAUUGCUACACAGCUCAGCUGUUGAUAGUUGUGGGUGUGAAAAGUGUCCUGUGAUAUGAGCUCAGCUCCAGCUGCAGGAAAAUCCAAGUUCUCACUCUUCCGCAACAUACAAAAGGAGUCAUUGUCGCAGAAGAUAACUCCAAAUAAAGACAGCCUUUCUUUCAAAACCACACGA